rnacentral:rRNA from 1 species
UACGUAGGUGGCAAGCGUUUGUCCGGAUUUAUCUGGGCGUAAAGAGCGCGCAGGCGGUCGAGUAAGUCGAAUGUGAAAGCCCCCGGCUUAACUGGGGAGGUCAUUCGAUACUGUUCGACUUGAAGGCAGGGAGAGGGCAGCAGAAUUCCCGGUGUAGUGGUGAAAUGCGUAGAUAUCGGGAGGAAUACCAGUGGCGAAGGCGGCUGCCUGGCCUGUUCUUGACGCUGAGGCGCGAAAGCUAGGGGAGCAAACGGGG